UGGGCGUUAAGUUGCAGGGUAUAGACCCGAAACCCGGUGAUCUAGCCAUGGGCAGGUUGAAGGUUGGGUAACACUAACUGGAGGACCGAACCGACUAAUGUUGAAAAAUUAGCGGAUGACCUGUGGCUGGGGGUGAAAGGCCAAUCAAACCGGGAGAUAGCUGGUUCUCCCCGAAAGCUAUUUAGGUAGCGCCUCGUGAAUUCAUCUCCGGGGGUAGAGCACUGUUUCGGCUAGGGGGCCAUCCCGGCUUACCAACCCGAUGCAAACUGCGAAUACCGGAGAAUGUUAUCACGGGAGACACACGGCGGGUGCUAACGUCCGUCGUGAAGAGGGAAACAACCCAGACCGCCAGCUAAGGUCCCAAAGUCAUGGUUAAGUGGGAAACGAUGUGGGAAGGCCCAGACAGCCAGGAUGUUGGCUUAGAAGCAGCCAUCAUUUAAAGAAAGCGUAAUAGCUCACUGGUCGAGUCGGCCUGCGCGGAAGAUGUAACGGGGCUAAACCAUGCACCGAAGCUGCGGCAGCGACACUGUGUGUUGUUGGGUAGGGGAGCGUUCUGUAAGCCUGUGAAGGUGUGUCGUGAGGCAUGCUGGAGGUAUCAGAAGUGCGAAUGCUGACAUAAGUAACGAUAAAGCGGGUGAAAAGCCCGCUCGCCGGAAGACCAAGGGUUCCUGUCCAACGUUAAUCGGGGCAGGGUGAGUCGACCCCUAAGGCGAGGCCGAAAGGCGUAGUCGAUGGGAAACGGGUUAAUAUUCCCGUACUUGGUGUUACUGCGAAGGGGGGACGGAGAAGGCUAUGUUGGCCGGGCGACGGUUGUCCCGGUUUAAGCGUGUAGGUGUGUGUUCCAGGUAAAUCCGGUUCACUUUAACACUGAGGCGUGACGACGAGGCACUACGGUGCUGAAGCAACAAAUGCCCUGCUUCCAGGAAAAGCCUCUAAGCAUCAGGUAACAUCAAAUCGUACCCCAAACCGACACAGGUGGUCAGGUAGAGAAUACCAAGGCGCUUGAGAGAACUCGGGUGAAGGAACUAGGCAAAAUGGUGCCGUAACUUCGGGAGAAGGCACGCUGACACGUAGGUGAAGUGAUUUACUCAUGGAGCUGAAGUCAGUCGAAGAUACCAGCUGGCUGCAACUGUUUAUUAAAAACACAGCACUGUGCAAACACGAAAGUGGACGUAUACGGUGUGACGCCUGCCCGGUGCCGGAAGGUUAAUUGAUGGGGUCAGCGCAAGCGAAGCUCCUGAUCGAAGCCCCGGUAAACGGCGGCCGUAACUAUAACGGUCCUAAGGUAGCGAAAUUCCUUGUCGGGUAAGUUCCGACCUGCACGAAUGGCGUAAUGAUGGCCAGGCUGUCUCCACCCGAGACUCAGUGAAAUUGAACUCGCUGUGAAGAUGCAGUGUACCCGCGGCAAGACGGAAAGACCCCGUGAACCUUUACUAUAGCUUGACACUGAACAUUGAGCCUUGAUGUGUAGGAUAGGUGGGAGGCUUUGAAGUGUGGACGCCAGUCUGCAUGGAGCCGACCUUGAAAUACCACCCUUUAAUGUUUGAUGUUCUAACGUGGACCCGUUACCCGGGUUGCGGACAGUGUCUGGUGGGUAGUUUGACUGGGGCGGUCUCCUCC
rnacentral:rRNA from 2 species